GGUUAAGCUCACGUAUUUGCUUCUUUGUAUUUUCUCUUUGAUUAACAGGAGUCACUUCCAUCAAUUAUUUUCUGCACAGAAAUGUUAAUAUCUAAACACGGGGAAGAACUGGAAUCCUGUGCUCUGUAGGGCAGCACAUCAGCAUAUCACCUUGUUGGGAGCACAGCUGCAGGGAGAUGAUGUUCUUUCACCACAUUGCUCUUUGGUGGGUGCAAGACUGAUGCUGCUCAGGUGUAUUCUGAAUGAGCCCUCGGUAC
rnacentral:lncRNA from 1 species